UACGUAGGUGGCAAGCGUUGUCCGGAUUUACUGGGCGUAAAGAGCGCGCAGGCGGUUGGAUAAGUCGAAUGUGAAAGCCCCCGGCUUAACUGGGGAGGGUCAUUCGAUACUGUUCAACUUGAAGGCAGGAGAGGGCAGCAGAAUUCCCGGUGUAGUGGUGAAAUGCGUAGAUAUCGGGAGGAAUACCAGUGGCGAAGGCGGCUGCCUGGCCUGUUCUUGACGCUGAGGCGCGAAAGCUAGGGGAGCGAACGGG
rnacentral:rRNA from 1 species